rnacentral:rRNA from 1 species
CCUACGGGGGGCUGCAGUGAGGAAUAUUGGUCAAUGGGCGUAAGCCUGAACCAGCCAUCCCGCGUGCAGGAAGAAGGCGCUGUGCGUCGUAAACUGCUUUUCCAGGGGAAGAAAACCCGAUACGUGUAUCGGCUUGCCGGUACCCUGGGAAUAAGCAUCGGCUAACUCCGUGCCAGCAGCCGCGGUAAUACGGAGGAUGCGAGCGUUAUCCGGUUUUAAGGGGUUUAAGGGGUACGUAGGAGUCAGAAGUGAAAACCUUCAGCUUAACUGGAGACUUGCCAUUGAUACUGUUAGUCUUGAGUACGGUCAAGGUAGGCGGAAUGUGUAAUGUAGCGGUGAAAUGCUUAGAUAUUACACAGAACACCGAUUGCGAAGGCAGCUUACUGGGCCAUUACUGACGCUGAUGCACGAAAGCGUGGGGAGCGAACAGGAUUAGAUACCCGAGUAGUC